UGACCUCGGAUCAGGUAGGGGAUACCCGCUGAACUUAAGCAUAUCAAUAAGCGGAGGAAAAGAAACCAACCGGGAUUGCCUCAGUAACGGCGAGUGAAGCGGCAAGAGCUCAAAUUUGAAAGCUGGCUCCUUCGGGGUCCGCAUUGUAAUUUGCAGAGGAUGCUUCGGGUGCGGCCCCUGUCUAAGUGCCCUGGAACGGGCCGUCAGAGAGGGUGAGAAUCCCGUCUGGGAUGGGGUGUCCGCGCCCGUGUGAAGCUCCUUCGACGAGUCGAGUUGUUUGGGAAUGCAGCUCUAAAUGGGUGGUAAAUUUCAUCUAAAGCUAAAUACUGGCCGGAGACCGAUAGCGCACAAGUAGAGUGAUCGAAAGAUGAAAAGCACUUUGAAAAGAGAGUUAAAAAGCACGUGAAAUUGUUGAAAGGGAAGCGCUUGCGACCAGACUCGCCUCCAGGGUUCAGCCGGCAUUCGUGCCGGUGUACUUCCCUGGGGGCGGGCCAGCGUCGGUUUGGGCGGCCGGUCAAAGGCUCCCGGAAUGUAGUGCCCUCCGGGGCACCUUAUAGCCGGGAGUGCAAUGCGGCCAGCCUGGACCGAGGAACGCGC
rnacentral:rRNA from 1 species